AAGUCGUAACAAGGUUUCCGUGGGACCAUUCCUGGUUGCGAUGUAAACGUGGUCUCCACUUCAACUUGUUUAGUACCUUUUGUCCUCUACCCGUACCGCUUGUCGCCACGAUUUGGAUCUUGAUGCACCCGUUUUCUUAUAACCACCGCUGGAAAACUAUGUCUUCCCGCAAAAGUACCCGCUCGGGGGGCCUGAGAACCUUCCAGAGCUGGAAUACCCGAACAACUGUUAACAAUGGAUAUCUUGGCUCUC
rnacentral:misc_RNA from 1 species